CAGUGAUUAGUCUAUCUUAAGACUAUUAAUUUCGGCUUAAUAAAACCUAGGACAACACUAGGAUCACUAA
rnacentral:tRNA from 1 species